CCUACGGGAGGCAGCAGUGAGGAAUAUUGGUCAAUGGACGAGAGUCUGAACCAGCCACGUCGCGUGAAGGAUGACUGCCCUCUGGGUUGUAAACUUCUUUUAUAUGGGAAUAAAAUGUUGCAAGUGUGGGAUCUUGUAUGUACCAUAUGAAUAAGGAUCGGCUAACCUCGUGACAGCAGACGCGGUAAUACGUAGGAUGCGAGGGUUGUCCGGAUUUAUUGGGUUUAAAGGGAGUGUAGGUGGUUUGUUAAGUCAGUUGUGAAAGUUUUCGGCUCAAACGGAACAGUGCAGUUGAAACUGGCGAGCUUGAGUGAAGAAGAGGUGAGCGGAAUUCGAGGUGUAGCGGUGAAAUGCUUAGAUAUCACGAAGAACUCCGAUGGCGAAGGCAGUUCACUGGACUGCAACUGACACUGAGGCUCGAAAGUGUGGGUAGCAAACAGGAUUAGAUACCCGAGUAGUC
rnacentral:rRNA from 1 species